GACGAACGCUGGCGGCGUGCUUAACACAUGCAAGUCGAACGGAAAGGCCCUGCUUUUGUGGGGUGCUCGAGUGGCGAACUGGUGAGUAACACGUGAGUAACCUGCCCUUGACUUUGGGAUGACUUCAUGAAACUGGGGCUAAUACCGGAUAGGAGCUCCUGCUGCAUGGUGGGGGUGAGAAAGUUUCGGCGGUUGGUGAUGGACUCGCGGCUUAUCAGCUUGUUGGUGGGGUAGUGGCUUACCAAGGCUUUGACGGGUAGCCGGCCUGAGAGGGUGACCGGCCACAUUGGGACUGAGAUACGGCCCAGACUCCUACGGGAGGCAGCAGUGGGGAAUAUUGCACAAUGGGCGGAAGCCUGAUGCAGCAACGCCGCGUGCGGGAUGACGGCCUUCGGGUUGUAAACCGCUUUCGCCUGUGACGAAGCGUGAGUGACGGUAAUGGGUAAAGAAGCACCGGCUAACUACGUG
rnacentral:rRNA from 1 species